GUUUAUAUUUGCAUGUGCUUCUUCGAAAAAAUUUAAAAAUUGUUAAAAAGUUGAGAUCAAAGUCAAUAAUUAAUUCUAAAUAAAUAAAUGGAACCCAUAAUUUUUACAAAUUUUUCAAUACAAAAUUCAUCAAUUUUACCAAAAUCUGUCAAAAAAAUUAUCAAAAUCUUUGUUAAAAAACCAUUUACUAAGAAAAAGUAAGAUAUUACCAGCAGCACCAGUGUAGCUAAGAAACCGUCGGCUGAAACAAAACUGGGUGCACCCACGCAUGCACGCACUGCCACAAACCCCGUAAAGUAAAACGUUUGGCGAUGUUUCCGUUGGACUCCAUCUGUUUUUAGUAAGUCCCAUUAAAUCCCUCUUCUCCAAGAAACUUAAAAGUCGAAAAUUAAGCAUAUUUUCU
rnacentral:lncRNA from 1 species